AGCGAACGCUGGCGGCAGGCCUAAUACAUGCAAGUCGAACACACCUUCGGGUGAGUGGCGGACGGGUGAGUAACGCGUGGGAACGUGCCCUUUGGUACGGAACAACUGAGGGAAACUUCAGCUAAUACCGUAUGUGCCCUUCGGGGGAAAGAUUUAUCGCCAUUGGAGCGGCCCGCGUUGGAUUAGCUAGUUGGUGGGGUAAAAGCCUACCAAGGCGACGAUCCAUAGCUGGUCUGAGAGGAUGAUCAGCCACACUGGGACUGAGACACGGCCCAGACUCCUACGGGAGGCAGCAGUAGGGAAUCUUGCGCAAUGGGCGAAAGCCUGACGCAGCCAUGCCGCGUGAAUGAUGAAGGUCUUAGGAUUGUAAAAUUCUUUCACCGGGGAAGAUAAUGACGGUACCCGGAGAAGAAGCCCCGGCUAACUUCGUGCCAGCAGCCGCCGCGGUAA
rnacentral:rRNA from 1 species